rnacentral:rRNA from 1 species
UAUUUCCUACGGGGAGCAGCAGUGGGGAAUAUUGCGCAAUGGGGGCAACCCUGACGCAGCAACGCCGCGUGCAGGAAGAAGGUCUUCGGAUUGUAAACUGUUGUCGCAAGGGAAGAAGACAGUGACGGUACCUUGUGAGGAAGUCACGGCUUACUACGUGCCAGCAGCCGCGGUAAUACGUAGGUGACAAGCGUUGUCCGGAUUUACUGGGUGUAAAGGGCGCGUAGGCGGACUGUCCAGUCAGUCGUGAAAUACCG